AGAGUUUGAUCCUGGCUCAGAUUGAACGCUGGCGGAAUGCUUUACACAUGCAAGUCGAACGGUAGAGGGGGCAACCCCUUGUGAGUGGCGAACGGGUGAGUAAUAUAUCGGAACGUGCCCAGUCGUGGGGGAUAACGUAGCGAAAGUUACGCUAAUACCGCAUACGAUCUACGGAUGAAAGCGGGGGAUCGCAAGACCUCGCGCGAUUGGAGCGGCCGAUAUCAGAUUAGGUAGUUGGUGGGGUAAAGGCUCACCAAGCCAACGAUCUGUAGCUGGUCUGAGAGGACGACCAGCCACACUGGAACUGAGACACGGUCCAGACUCCUACGGGAGGCAGCAGUGGGGAAUUUUGGACAAUGGACGCAAGUCUGAUCCAGCCAUUCCGCGUGCAGGAUGAAGGCCCUCGGGUUGUAAACUGCUUUUGUACGGAACGAAAAGGUUUCUAUUAAUACUAGGAGCUCAUGACGGUACCGUAAGAAUAAGCACCGGCUAACUACGUGCCAGCAGCCGCGGUAAUACGUAGGGUGCAAGCGUUAAUCGGAAUUACUGGGCGUAAAGCGUGCGCAGGCGGUUAUGUAAGACAGAGGUGAAAUCCCCGGGCUCAACCUGGGAACUGCCUUUGUGACUGCAUAGCUAGAGUACGGUAGAGGGGGAUGGAAUUCCGCGUGUAGCAGUGAAAUGCGUAGAUAUGCGGAGGAACACCGAUGGCGAAGGCAAUCCCCUGGACCUGUACUGACGCUCAUGCACGAAAGCGUGGGGAGCAAACAGGAUUAGAUACCCUGGUAGUCCACGCCCUAAACGAUGUCAACUGGUUGUUGGGUCUUCACUGACUCAGUAACGAAGCUAACGCGUGAAGUUGACCGCCUGGGGAGUACGGCCGCAAGGUUGAAACUCAAAGGAAUUGACGGGGACCCGCACAAGCGGUGGAUGAUGUGGUUUAAUUCGAUGCAACGCGAAAAACCUUACCCACCUUUGACAUGUACGGAAGCCUUUAGAGAUAGAGGCGUGCUCGAAAGAGAGCCGUAACACAGGUGCUGCAUGGCUGUCGUCAGCUCGUGUCGUGAGACGUUGGGUUAAGUCCCGCAACGAGCGCAACCCUUGUCAUUAGUUGCUACAUUCAGUUGGGCACUCUAAUGAGACUGCCGGUGACAAACCGGAGGAAGGUGGGGAUGACGUCAAUCCUCAUGGCCCUUAAAGGUGGGGCUACACACGUCAUACAAUGGCUGGUACAAAGGGUUGCCAACCCGCGAGGGGGAGCCAAUCCCAUAAAACCAGUCGUAGUCCGGAUCGCAGUCUGCAACUCGACUGCGUGAAGUCGGAAUCGCUAGUAAUCGUGGAUCAGAAUGUCACGGUGAAUACGUUCCCGGGUCUUGUACACACCGCCCGUCACACCAUGGGAGCGGGUCUCGCCAGAAGUAGUUAGCCUAACCGCAAGGAGGGCGAUUACCACGGCGGGGUUCGUGACUGGGGUGAAGUCGUAACAAGGUA
rnacentral:rRNA from 1 species